CCCCGCCACGUGACCGGCGGCUCAGCACGACCCGCGAUUUGCACCCCCGCUACGCGGCGCGGACGGAGCCGCAGCGCUCCUCUGCGGAGCUUGCCCCUCAGGUCCUCAGUCCAAGGAGCUCGCGGUGACUUACACGCGUGCGGGACGCCGGCGCCGGCCUACCCCUCAGUCUCUGGCAGAGAAAAGGGAAAAGCCGCGAAGGACGGAUGGGGUGUACCCCCGGGGGCCUGACUCAGAGCCUGCCCUGUGGUAUUUGGUGGAUGGUGGUGGUUAAACACAGAAACCGGGAAAGAAGAGCGGCUCAGAGGGUGGUGACCCCUGUCUCUAGGGGGAAGAGGCUGAUAGACUGGAUGAUGCAUGGGUAAUCUGCUGUUGGCAAGCUUGUUAAGUGAGCAAAACUUCUGAAGAUUUUAAGGUGUGACCACAUCAUGCAUGAAACAGCCCAGACGUGCUUCAACCAUAACAUGGGAGUACAUGAUUCAGACUAUGUCGGCAACAUAGCUCACUUACGGAAUCCAGUGGAAUGAGAGACAGAUGGACUCCAAGAGUCAUUGGGGAGAACUCUUCAUCACUGCAGCCAUGCACCUAAACCUAAACAGGUUUUUCUGCCAAGAAUCUAGGGAAAUCCCAUCCCAUCUCCCCAGAUUUAUAGAUAACAUCACUAAGGUUUUUUUUUACCUGACAAGUACUAUAAAGCUGAGAUUGUGCUCACUUUGGUAGCACAUAUACUAAAGAAAAGCUGAGAUUUUUUUUUUUAAUGUUUAUUUAUUUUGAGAGAGAGAGAGAGUGGGGAAGGUCCAGAGAAAGAGAGAGAAUCCCAAGCAGGAUCUGCCAUCAGUGCAGAGCCUGACAUGGGGCUCAGUCCCAUGAACCGUGAAGUCACGACCUGAGCCUGAAAACAAGAGUUGGACACUUAACCAACUGAGCCACCUAGGCGCCCCUAUUAAGUUGAGAUUUAAACCUAGGUCUAUUUUACUUAGCCUGUGUUAAAUACUAGGCUAUUUUCAUUUUAUUUUGUUCAAAAUCCUGAGGUCAUAGAGAAGAAUAGAAGGGUAGUGAUGAGGUGGAUAAUAGGAGGCAGAAAACGCUGGGUUGUUUUAAAGUCUCAACCCUGAGCCUUCUAUCUUUUGUAUACUGUUUCUUCAUAGAAGACACUUUCUCCUACCUGGUAAGUUGUGUACAGGACAACAUGGAAAUAAAGGAGAGGCAGAUAGACCAACAAGGGAGUAAUUUUAGUAAUUCUAUUAUAUAAUUCAAACCUCCUUGUAAUGCAAUUUAGCUUCCCCACUGGUUGUGAAUUAAUCAGGUUUCAUAAUUAUAUUUAUAAUUAGGUUCUUUCUACGUAAUUAUUGUUUGUACUUGAGCAAAUUGCUUAGGAAGGCCACCUCCAAAUCCAAAUUAAAUGUUUCAUUUCCUAUUUCCUUUAUGGGGGCACAUGAUUAUUUUGGGAAAAGCAUUGGCUUGACAAUUAAAUUCCAUGUCUUGCUGUAUCUCCUAGGGAAGACCUAGAUCUCUUUUAAUUAUUUUUUAACAUUACAUAUUCACAAGUCUUACCAACCCAUGGAUGGGAAGGAAGGGCUCUUAGUGGAUCCCUGAAGUAUUACAGACCUCAGGCAAACUUGUAUGCAGUCUUUGUAUUUUAAAAAUUCAGGUAUUCCGGGAAGCCUGGGUGGCUUAGUCAGUUGAGCAUCAGACUCUUGAUUUUGGCUCAGGUCUUGAUCCCAGGAUCGUGGGAGCAAGCCCCACAUCAGGCUCCAUGCUGAAUGUAGAGCCUGCUUGGGAUUCUCUGUCUCCCUCUGCCCCUACCCUGCUCAUGUUCUCUCUUCUCUCUCUCUCUCUCUUUAAAAUGAAUAAAUAAAAAGGGAGUAAAAUUCAUGUAUUCUAAAUCCCUAAUGAGUUGUCCACUAUUAAAAAUGCAAAAGCUUCAGAAUUCAGAAAUUACCUUAACAAUAUCAGAUAGCCAUAUAAACAUGUUGUGAUCUAAAUUAAACAUUCUCCAUGUAGAAAACUUUUCUUCGUGUUAGCAAAGCAAAUAAAAUUUCUCCUUAAUUUUCACCUGAAGAGGGAAAGCUAGGGUGAGUGAAGAACAGGGUGUAUUUUAAGCUAGGUAUGAAAGGCCUAAUAGAAAAAUCAAGGAUAGAUUUUUCUCUUGUAUGUUGAAGAGAAAUUUAAAUUACGUGUUAGUGUUUGGUAUGCUUUCCUGUCAGUUUGGAAAGUUAACCUUUCCAGGACAAUCUCUACCAGAAAUUAAGGCGCUUUUUUCCCCCCUAAAGUUUAUUUAUUUAUUUUGAGAGAGAGAGAGAGAGCAUACCCGUGGGAGGGGCAAAGGGUGAGGGAGAGAGAGAAUCCUUGCCGUCAUUGCAGAGCCUGACACGGGACUCAAUCUCACAAAUCAGGUGAGAUCUUGACCUGAGCUGAAAUCGGGAGUUGGACACUUGGGGCUCUGUGCUGACAGUGUGGACCCUGCUUGGGAUUCUGUCUCCCUCCUUCUCUCUCUGCCCCUCCCCCACCUCAAAAUAAAUUAAAAAAAAAAAAGAGUGGGAUGUUUAACUGACUGAGCCACUGAGCCACCCCAAGCUUUCUUUUCAAAAAGAUUUUUGCCUACUCCUUUUCAGAGAGAUAGCAAGACAUGUUUGACUGAAGAACAUUUGCCACCUUUUGGUUAUCCAGUAUAGUGUAGUACAGUUCCUUUUAAUCCCACUUCCCUUUAUUUUCAUAGACUGGAAGAUAUCCAAAAAUAAACGUGUUCAGAAAUGGAGGUAUACAUACAUGAAAGCUAAGGACAGUCCCGUGUAUCUAGGUCUCUAGGCAAUCUUUUCCUGGUCUUUUCGUCUUGGUAUUCUACCCUUAUCAGAAAAAAAAAAAAAAAAAAAGAAAGAAAGAAAAAGGACUGUGCUGUAGACUCACUAUAUGAAAGUGCCUUACUUUCCUGAGAAUUUUGAUCCUUGUAUUCAAGAUAUAUGUGGAGUUUGGUUCAGUUAGAUUUAUGACACCAGAAUUGUUGAAAAGCAAUAAAUUACUACUAUAAUUUCUGUUUUAUUUUAAAUAAUAAUGAUCUCUGUUUUUAACUUGUUUGGGAAAGAACAAGCUAUGAACUUUUCUCAGCCUUUGAUGCAGGACUCCAGCUAAACUAGCAAAAGACACUGCCUCAAAGAAACUAAAUGUUUUUUUUCUUUAACAAUUUAACUUUCUAUCUUUUCUCCUUCAAGAUGUAUCAUUAUAAACUUCUUACAAACAAGGACUGUUUCUUCUCAUGGUAUCCUGCAGAUUGCCUUAUACAGACCUACAUAUGGCUAAUAAAAACUUGAGUAUUUUAAAA